rnacentral:rRNA from 1 species
UACAUGGAGAGCUUUCUGUGAAGCCGGGCUGUAAGGCAUCCGGUGGAGAGAUCAGAAGCGAGAAUGUUGACAUGAGUAGCGACAAGCAGGGUGAGAAACCCUGUCGCCGAAAGUCCAAGGGUUCCUGCUUAAAGCUAAUCUGAGCAGGGUAAGCCGGCCCCUAAGGCGAGGCCGAAAGGCGUAGUCGAUGGGAACCAGGUUAAUAUUCCUGGGCCAGUGGGAUGUGACGGAUCGCAGAUGUAGCUUGCCCUUAUCGGAUUGGGUGGGCUGCUGAGCGGUUCCUGGAAAUAGCCCCACAUCAGACCGUACCCUAAACCGACACAGGUGGACUGGUAGAGUAUACCAAGGCGCUUGAGAGAACCACGUUAAAGGAACUCGGCAAAAUGCCUCCGUAAGUUCGCGAGAAGGAGGCCCCAUAUGUAGGCAACUAUGUGUGGGGGGCACAAACUAGGGGGUGGCGACUGUUUACUUAAAACACAGGGCUGUGCGAAGCCGUAAGGCGACGUAUACAGUCUGACGCCUGCCCGGUGCUGGAAGAUUAAGAGGAGGGGUGCAAGCUCUGAAUUGAAGUCCCAGUAAACGGCGGCCGUAACGAUAACGGUCCUAAGGUAGCGAAAUUCCUUGUCGGGUAAGUUCCGACCUGCACGAAUGGCGUAACGAUCUCCCCGCUGUCUCUAACGUGGACUCAGCGAAAUUGAACUGUGUGUCAAGAUGCACACUACCCGCGGUUAGACGGAAAGACCCCAUGAACCUUUACUCCAGCUUUGCACUGGUAUCAGGAUUGUGGUGUGCAGGAUAGGUGGUAGGCACUGAAACGGGGACGCCAGUCUUCGUGGAGCCUCCCUUGAGAUACCACCCUUCGCCAUCUUGAUAUCUAACCGCGGCCCGUUAUCCGGGUCCGGGACCCUGCAUGGUGGGGAGUUUGACUGGGGCGGUCGCCUCCCAAACAGUAACGGAGGCGCGCGAUGGUUGGCUCAGACCGGUCGGAAAUCGGUCGUUGAGUGCAAUGGCAGAAGCCAGCCUGACUGCAAGACUGACAAGUCGAGCAGAGACGAAAGUCGGUCAUAGUGAUCCGGUGGUCCCAAGUGGGAGGGCCAUCGCUCAACGGAUAAAAGGUACUCUGGGGAUAACAGGCUGAUGAUGCCCAAGAGCCCAUAUCGACGGCAUCGUUUGGCACCUCGAUGUCGACUCAUCUCAUCCUGGGGCUGGAGCAGGUCCCAAGGGUAUGGCUGUUCGCCAUUUAAAGAGGUACGUGAGCUGGGUUUAGAACGUCGUGAGACAGUUCGGUCCCUAUCUGCCGUGGGUGCAGGAGACUUGAGAAGAGUUGACCCUAGUACGAGAGGACCGGGUUGAACGAACCACUGGUGGACCAGUUAUCGUGCCAACGGUAGUGCUGGGUAGCUAUGUUCGGACAGGAUAACCGCUGAAGGCAUCUAAGCGGGAAGCCCCCUUCAAAACAAGGUCUCCCUUGAGGGCCGUGGAAGACGACCACGUCGAUAGGCCAGAGGUGUAAGUGCAGCAAUGCAUUCAGCUGACUGGUACUAAUUGCCCAA